rnacentral:rRNA from 1 species
GAGUUUGAUCCUGGCUCAGAGCGAACGCUGGCGGCAGGCUUAACACAUGCAAGUCGAGCGGGCGUAGCAAUACGUCAGCGGCAGACGGGUGAGUAACGCGUGGGAACGUACCUUUUGGUUCGGAACAACACAGGGAAACUUGUGCUAAUACCGGAUAAGCCCUUACGGGGAAAGAUUUAUCGCCGAAAGAUCGGCCCGCGUCUGAUUAGCUAGUUGGUGGGGUAACGGCUCACCAAGGCGACGAUCAGUAGCUGGUCUGAGAGGAUGAUCAGCCACAUUGGGACUGAGACACUGCCCGGACUCCUACGGGGGGCUGCAGUAACGAAUCUUCCGCAAUGCACGAAAGUGUGACGGAGCGACGCCGCGUGUGGGAUGAAGUCCUUCGGGAUGUAAACCACUGUCAGGGGAAAGAAAGUUCUGAUCUACCCCAGAGGAAGGGGCGGCUAACUCUGUGCCAGCAGCCGCGGUAAUACAGAGGCCCCAAGCGUUAGGCGGAAUCACUGGGCUUAAAGCGUGUGUAGGUGGAUGCCUAAGUACCUUGUGAAAUCCCACGGCUUAACCAUGGAAUUGCUUGGUAUACUGGGUGUCUUGAGCCACUCAGGGGCUACCGGAACAAACGGUGGAGCGGUGAAAUGCGUAGAUAUCGUUUGGAACGCCAAUGGUGAAAACAGGUAGCUGGGGGUGUGCUGACACUGAGACACGAAAGCCAGGGGAGCAAACGGGAUUAGAUACCCCGGUAGUCCUGGCAGUAAACGGUGCGCGUUUGGUGUGGGAGGAUUCGACCCCUUCUGUGCCGGAACUAACGCGUUAAACGCGCCGCCUGGGGAGUACGGUCGCAAGAUUAAAACUCAAAGAAAUUGACGGGGGCCCGCACAAGCGGUGGAGUAUGUGGCUUAAUUCGAUGCAACGCGAAGAACCUUACCUGGCCUUGACAUGCAUCUCUAAGUCGGUGAAAGCCGGCGACUCCCGCAAGGGAGAAUUUGCACAGGUGCUGCAUGGCUGUCGUCAGCUCGUGUCGUGAGAUGUUGGGUUAAGUCCCGCAACGAGCGCAACCCCUGUGAACUGUUGCCACCGGCCUUCGGGCCGAGCACUCUGUUCAGACUGCCCCGUGAAACGGGGAGGAAGGUGGGGAUGACGUCAAGUCCUCAUGGCCCUUACGCGUGGGGCUACACACGUGCUACAAUGGUGGUGACAGAGGGAUAAUCCCUAAAAGCCAUCUCAGUUCGGAUUGUCCUCUGCAACUCGAGGGCAUGAAGUUGGAAUCGCUAGUAAUCGCGGAUCAGCAUGCCGCGGUGAUACGUUCCCGGGCCUUGCACACAC